GAACGCUAGCGGCAGGCUUAACACAUGCAAGUCGAGGGGCAGCAUGUUGGUUGCUUGCGACCAAUGAUGGCGACCGGCGCACGGGUGCGUAACGCGUAUCGAACCUGCCCUAUACUCGGGGAUAGCCUUGCGAAAGUAAGAUUAAUACCCGAUGUUGUUAUUUAUUCGCAUGUUUGAAUAACGAAAGAUUUAUUGGUAUAGGAUGGCGAUGCGUGGCAUUAGGUAGUAGGCGGGGUAACGGCCCACCUAGCCGACGAUGCCUAGGGGUUCUGAGAGGAAGGUCCCCCACACUGGAACUGAGACACGGUCCAGACUCCUACGGGAGGCAGCAGUGAGGAAUAUUGGUCAAUGGUCUGACGACUGAACCAGCCAUGCCGCGUGAAGGUGACGGCCCUAUGGGUCUUAAACUUCUUUUGUAAGGGAGCAAUAAGGUCUACGUGUAGAUUGAUGAGAGUACCUUACGAAUAAGCAUCGGCUAACUCCGUG
rnacentral:rRNA from 1 species